GACGAACGCUGGCGGCGUGCUUAACACAUGCAAGUCGAACGGAAAUGCCCUGUUUUUGGCGGGUGCGGGCAGGGGCAAACGGUGGGGAAACAGUUAGUUAACUGCCCUCGCACUUGGGAUAAACUCCGGAAACUGGUGCCUAUUCCGGGGUGUUGUUUCUGUGCCACGGUGUGGGUCGGAGAGUGUCUGCGGUUGGGGUUGGAUUCGCGGCGUAUCAGCUUGUGGGUGGGGUAGUGGCUUACCAAGGCUUGGACGGGUAGCCGGCCGGAGAGGGUGACAGGCCACAUUGGGACUGAGAUAAGGGCCAGACUACUACGGGAGGCAGCAGUGGGGAAUAUUGCACAAUGGGCGGAAGCCUGAUGCAGCAACGCCGCGUGCGGGAUGACGGCCUUCGGGUUGUAAACCGCUUUCGCCUGUGACGAAGCGUGAGUGACGGUAAUGGGUAAAGAAGCACCGGCUAACUACGUG
rnacentral:rRNA from 1 species